UAAAUAUUCCUUUCUCCAUGACCCUGAUUUUCUCCCCUCUGUUCUCCAGGCACUGGUUCCAUUCUGAGCACCAAUCAUAUGGAUAUGAAAAUUCAUGAACAAGCUUUAUCAGCAAACAUUACCAAUUGGAGGACUGCCUUGUCUCUAGCUUGAAUACAUACUCCACCCCCAUCUUUGAGAGGUGCUCCAGAGAGGACAUCAAAAAGUACUGUUGGUGAUCUGGGCCUUCUGGUUUACUGACAACCAGUUCCAAGAGAAAAGAAAGCAGCCAGGCUACUGAACAGAUACCUGACACGGUGCAUAAAUCCUGAGCAGUGAGCUUUGUGAUGACCUCUAAUCCCAUGGUAGCCAUCAAUGUCAUCCAUUCUCAAGAAAAGCUAGCAUUCUUAUGCUUCAUUAGUGAAAACUGGAUUACCUAAUAUCCUGAAUUUUCUGCAUCCUGAAUGUCACAUUCAAGUUUUUGGCCCAGAGGAUCUGAUUUCUACUGAGGUCCAAAGAUAUACCUUCUAUAGCGAUCAAAGGACAGCUUUCUUGCUUGAAACACAAGCAACUGCUCUCUGGUACAGGUAAGAACUUAUUGCUUCCAGGUAUAGUAGUAGAAUUUCAUUUCCCUUAAU
rnacentral:lncRNA from 1 species